rnacentral:rRNA from 1 species
UGGGGAAUUUUGGACAAUGGGCGAAGCCUGAUCCAGCAAUGCCGCGUGUGUGAAGAAGGCCUUCGGGUUGUAAAGCACUUUUGUCCGGAAAGAAAUCCUUGGCUCUAAUACAGUCGGGGGAUGACGGUACCGGAAGAAUAAGCACCGGCUAACUACGUGCCAGCAGCCGCGGUAAUACGUAGGGUGCAAGCGUUAAUCGGAAUUACUGGGCGUAAAGCGUGCGCAGGCGGUUUGCUAAGACCGAUGUGAAAUCCCCGGGCUCAACCUGGGAACUGCAUUGGUGACUGGCAGGCUAGAGUAUGGCAGAGGGGGGUAGAAUUCCACGUGUAGCAGUGAAAUGCGUAGAGAUGUGGAGGAAUACCGAUGGCGAAGGCAGCCCCCUGGGCCAAUACUGACGCUCAUGCACGAAAGCGUGGGGAGCAAACAGGAUUAGAUACCCUGGUAGUCCACGCCCUAAACGAUGUCAACUAGUUGUUGGGGAUUCAUUCCUUAGUAACGUAGCUAACGCGUGAAGUUGACCGCCUGGGGAGUACGGUCGCAAGAUUAAAACUUAAAGGAAUUGACGGGGUCAUAGCUGUUUCCU